UCCCUGGAGGCCUAAUGGUUAAGGACUUGGCAUUGUCACUGCUGUGGUUCGGGUUUGAUCCCUGGCCAGGGAA
rnacentral:tRNA from 1 species